CUCCGCGUUUAAAAAAAAAGGAAUUCCUCCUUUCCUCUCUAGGCAUGGGCCAGAAUCUGGCCAGGCUCCACUGAGCCUCUGCCGUGGAUGGAGUAAAAAAAUUACAUUAUUAUUUUUAAAAAAAAAAAGGCUGGAUCAGAGGGUGAUUCAGUUUUUAUAUAUUUAAAAAAAAAAAGAAAGGAAAAGGGUUUCGGCUUAGGGCGUCAAAGGAAAAGGGUUUCGGCUUAGGGCGUCCCUUUUGCGCCCUCUCCUUUGGCAGAGAUGGGUUACUUCUCCUCGAGGACGACAAACGCUCACUCACGACGACGGCACAACGAGAGUGGUUUGCGAGGAGUCAACGGACACAGAGGCUUACCAAUUUGGUGCAAGGAAGGCCACCUCGAGCGGUGGAUACGUUGCGGCCAGCACAUGGGGUUGCGACGCACAAGGGAACCCUAGGGUUAAGGUGUCUUCCGAAAGUGCUUAACACUUUGGGCCAUUGGGCCUUGUUUAGUUUGGGUCUGGUUGUUGGGCUUUGGGUUUUGGAUUGUAAAAUGGGUUAAAUGGAUUUGGGCUAUUUGAGUCUGUAGAAUUUAGGUAGUGGAUUUUAAGUAAUUUUGGCUUGUAUUUGGAACUAUUCUAAUAUUUAUUCUAUUUGCUUGUCUAAUUUGGGCCCAGGCCGGGCAAAAUAGGCUUAUUA